rnacentral:rRNA from 1 species
AACGAACGCUGGCGGCAGGCCUAACACAUGCAAGUCGAACGCUCCGCAAGGAGAGUGGCAGACGGGUGAGUAACACGUGGGAAUCUUCCGAUAGGUUCGGAAUAGCUCAGGGAAACUUGGGGAAAUACCGGAUAAGCCCGAAAGGGGAAAGAUUUAUCGCCGAUAGAUGAGCCCGCGUCUGAUUAGCUAGUUGGUGAGGUAAUGGCUCACCAAGGCGACGAUCAGUAGCUGGUCUGAGAGGAUGACCAGCCACACUGGGACUGAGACACGGCCCAGACUCCUACGGGAGGCAGCAGUGGGGAAUAUUGGACAAUGGGCGCAAGCCCGAUCCAGCCAUGCCGCGUGAGUGACGAAGGUCUUCGGAUUGUAAAGCUCUCUUGCCAGGGACGAUAAUGACGGUACCUGGAGAAUAAGCCCCGGCUAACUACGUGCCAGCCGCCGCCGUAAGAC